rnacentral:rRNA from 1 species
ACAUGUCUAUAGCAUAGCGUUAAUGCACCCAUUAGAACUCUGCAGUUAAGUGCGCUCAGGCUAGAGUAGUACUAGGAUGGGUGACCGCCCAGAAAGUCCUAGUGUUUUACAUGCC